rnacentral:rRNA from 1 species
ACGUUCGACACCUACGGGAUGCAGCAGUAGGGAAUCUUCCACAAUGGGCGCAAGCCUGAUGGAGCAACACCGCGUGAGUGAAGAAGGGUUUCGGCUCGUAAAGCUCUGUUGUUGGAGAAGAACGUGCGUGAGAGUAACUGUUCACGCAGUGACGGUAUCCAACCAGAAAGUCACGGCUAACUACGUGUCAGCAGCCGCGGUAAUCUGAGCGGGCUGGCAAGGC